rnacentral:rRNA from 1 species
GAUCAUUGGCUCAGAAUGAACGCUAGCGGCAGGCUUAACACAUGCAAGUCGAGGGGCAGCGGGGUGUAGCAAUACACUGCCGGCGACCGGCGCACGGGUGCGUAACGCGUAUGCAACCUACCCAUAACAGGGGCAUAACACUGAGAAAUUGGUACUAAUUCCCCAUAACAUUCGAAGAGGCAUCUCUUUGGGUUGAAAACUCCGGUGGUUAUGGAUGGGCAUGCGUUGUAUUAG